rnacentral:rRNA from 1 species
AUGACAUCAUCUUCAUGGAAAAAAUGGCCGGAUCAUGAGUGGGAUAAAUGGUGUGAUGAUCUGAGGGAUAUAGAAUUUUGGUUUAACAGAUACCUGAAGACGAAGGCAUAUAUUGACUUGAACAAUCAACUGUUUCUCUAUCAAGGUGUGUGCUGGAAUGUUGGGGUGGGGCCCAUGGCUUCAUUCACACGAGCCAUAUCAGGCAUGGCCGUGGAGGAAAUCCUUGAGUACCCAUAUCAAGUAGAAUUCAAACACGUGAUAAAGGUGGAUCUGAAGCCCACGCCAACGGCAGAGGAAGCCCAAGGAAGGGGCUUCAUGAGCACCAAGUACCAGCUGGCCCUCGCUGCAGCAAAGGAGCUCGGCCUGCUCGACCAAGAAUACAACAGGCUCAAGGAAGAGCACGACGAGCUACAGUACUACUCCUACGGGUCCUGUGAUGGUGUUAUCUCUUCAGAUUUGGAGUAUCACGUGAGGUACAAUAUGGUUCCUCGGAUCAUCAAACAAUUGUUAACCGAGAGGUACUUGCUAGUGGCCGAGAACCUCCAGUGGCCAAUUGUGCCUGGCAGUUUAAUAAUAGAAGAUGUCGGGCUUCCUCCACCUACGUGGGGAGAUUCUCGAUGGUUCAUCUCGACCACUUCUCAUGAUGCCUACAAACAGAGCAAGUUAGAAGGCGAUAGAGUUAUAUCCAUUGACGAAGAUGACCAAGUUGUGGUACUGGCCCUCGAUGCACUGCAUCGAUCGGCCGAGCACAUACUCAGCAUGAUCCAUCAGGAAAGCAAGCAGUACUGGUAUUGCAUAGCCCUCGAUUGCUUCCACUACACCAUGGCUUUCUUUGGCAAGCAUUCACAAGUGAUAGAUGUUACGUCGGACGAGAUCAUCCACCAGUGGGCCGCCCAAGGCAUUUUGCCUCGUAUGACCAUGAAGGAAGAAGAAGAAACCAACACCAUCAGCAGCAAGUGUUCAAAUAUGCAUCGAGUUGGAAGGGUCAUCCUUGAAGCAUUUCAGAAAUACUCUUUGUUGCAGCUACCUUUUUCUCCGGUUGAUGAAGCUUAUGAAGCCACCAAUACCGGUGCACAAUUCUUAGCAUACCAUGGCCUCAUUGCAGAUGGCAUCACAGUUGAUGAAAUCGUUGAUGACAAGAAGAAAUGGAUUUCAUUCUCCGGUGACCAUGGAGUGCAUGUAAGCCGGAAAUGGUUUAUCCCAGAGGAAAGCAAGGGGCCAACUUCACUUAUUCUAAGAGGUUGCUCACAUCAAUCGCUCAUACUUUCCAAGCUGGACAGUUUCUUGCCCAUGCUUUGUUUUCUUCGUGUUCUUGAUAUCUCCUACACUCCAAUAAAAGCACUCCCUUCUUCUAUUGAUUAUCUACAGAACCUUCGGUUGCUCUCACUUAGAGGCUGCCAUGAUCUGAAAACUCUUUCCAGUUCAUCCACAACAAAUGCCACAGGCUCAUCAACAAAUAUUCGUUCAUCAUCACCAUUGUCCACUCUAUACAAGCUAGAAAUUCUUGAUAUGAAUGGUGUUCCUGUUUCUCAUCUGACACAAGAUGUGGCCAACCAAAAGAGAAAUUUGAUACACCUCGACAUGUCACAUUCAGAAAUAUCUACUUUUCCACCCAAUGUUUUUGGGGACAUGUCAAAUCUUGAAGAGCUUAUUCUUGUCAGCUGCUCCAACCUUGUAGAGCUACCUCCUUCUAUGUCUGCACUAUCCAGCCUAGCGACCCUUGAGGUCACAGGGACUCUAAUAAAAUACUUCCCGCAGAAGAUAUUUGAAGAAAUGCAGAAGCUACAGUCGCUCAAGCUCAUUGACAACAAUGAAUUGAUUUCACUCGCAAGUCCAAUCUCUGGUGUCCAGGGAAACAAAUUGGAAGGGCAUCCUAACCUUACAUCCUUCAUGUUGGUUGGCGCACCUCAUAUAAGGUGCCUGUCUCUGCGUGGAUGUAGAAAACUUGAGUCUGUCGAGAUAAAAAAUCUUGGUGCCUUGGAGGAGCUUGAUUUGUCCGGUAUAGCUAUCAAGGAGCUCCCUGCAGAUAUCCCUAACCUUCCCAAGCUCAGGCGAUUGCUCCUGCUGGAUGUUCCGUCUCUGAGGCGAUUUCCUUGGCAUAGGCUGGAGCGACUUCCUGAUGUGUUUUAUUUGGACCAUUGUUCAGAAGGAAAGGGUAACCACUCUAAUCAAGUUCCCCAAGUGUGUGUAACUGACCCCAGGUUCUUCCAUAGCUUCCAUAACACUGUUGUGGAUUUCGUAAGAGAUGGACGGUUUCUCCAAUCAUUCUAUGUUCGAGUCGCACCAUGCACUAAAAAUAGCAUGCGACUGCAAGAUGAAGAAGUCAUUCUCGAUAGCAAGUUGCAGGAGUUGGUGCAGAACCAAUCGACUUAUGUGGAUGUACAAAGGAGUUGUUAUGCGGAGGAAAUUGCAACUGCAUCACCGAUUACAAUUCCCCUUAGCCGAACUGAGCGCCACGUGGAGAUCACAGGGACACAAUCGGGAAUUGCUGGUUUAUGGUAUCUUCUAAGUGUCAGCAAAUCAAUAUCCGUGUCAUGUGAUACUGCUAUCAACUAUUUUCCUGGCGAGAUCAAUUUUCACGAGCUGGAAGAAUGUGAGCUACGUUGGUGCCAUACAAUGGAAGUAGUUCUAAAUCGUACUAGAGGCUUGAAAAAACUACGCAAUAUGCAUGUGUGUAAUCUCAAAAGUCUAGUUUGGUUCUGCUCACGGUAUAGUUCUUGGGACUUCAGUAGUGUAGAGCACCUGCACUUAGAGGACUGCCCAAGAUUGAAGCACGUGGUGCCACAUACAGCAACACUACCGCGUCUCAAGACACUUGACAUCUUGUUCUGCUGCAACCUCAAGACAAUUUUCAUCAGCAAUCAUACACAAGAGAAUACUUAUCAGCUCCCAAGCCUACAAAGAAUGCGUCUCCAGGAGUUGCCACUGCUCCAGCACUUCCACAGCAAGCACGCCACCAUCACAGCACCUGUGUGGAAGGAGCUCCACAUCCGAGGGUGCUGGAGCCUCCGACGCCUCCCACUCCUAGAAGGACGCCAGCCCGAGACAGUGAAGGUGAAUGGCGAGAGGAGCUGGUGGAGCAAGCUCCAGUGGGGAUUACCCCCGCACCGCGACGGCUACGACCCCAAGCUUCCCCCGGAGUUCGCCUCCUUCGAUGAGCGCGCCGAGAUGAGCAGCUACCUCAGAUGA